rnacentral:rRNA from 1 species
AGAACGAACGCUGGCGGCGUGUUUAAGACAUGCAAGUCGCACGGGAUUGAAUGAGUAGUAAUACGAGUUCAGUCUAGUGGCGCACGGGUGAGUAACAUGUGAAUUACAUGCCCUUCAGUGGGGAAUAGCCCAGGGAAACUUGGAUUAAUACCCCAUGGUAUCGCAAGAUUAAAGGUGGCCGCAAGGCUGUCGCUGAAGGAUUGGUUCGCACCCUAUCAGCUUGUUGGUGAGGUAAUGGCUCACCAAGGCUACGACGGGUACCUGGUCUGAGAGGACGAUCAGGCCCACUGGACUGAGACACGGUCCAGACCACCUACGGGUGGCAGCAGUGAGAAUAAGUCACAAGUGGGGGCAACCCGUGACUGGUGACGAACCGCCGCGUAGGGAGGAGUGGUACGGUCGUUCGGAUUUCGGUAAACUUCCGU